AUAGAAGGGAAUGCUUCUCCUGUAACUAGUUAGUGCCAAAGAGCCUUGUCCAAAUGAGGCAAAAUCUGGUCAAAGGGAAUAUGCAACUAUUUUCAGUGGAACAACAGAGAAGUCAAGCUCUGGAAGCUCAUGCUGCUGCUUUUGCACAAUUUAAAGUUCCAGGGAAUGAGAAUCCUUCUACUCUCAUUUCCUUUGCAACAAAGACUUUUAAUGCUGGCCAAAUUACAUCAAAGCUGCAUGUUAUAGAUCUUGGUGCCCAACCAGGUUAGCUUAGUAUUAUUU